rnacentral:rRNA from 1 species
UACGUAGGGUGCGAGCGUUGUCCGGAAUUAUUGGGCGUAAAGAGCUCGUAGGCGGUCUGUCGCGUCUGCUGUGAAAACCUGUGGCUCAACUACAGGCUUGCGGUCGAUACGGGCAGGCUGGAGUUCGGUAGGGGAGACUGGAAUUCCUGGUGUAGCGGUGAAAUGCGUAGAGAUCAUGAGGAAGACCAGUGGCGAAGGCGGGUCUCUGGACAGUUCCUGACACUGAGACACGAAGGCCAGGGGAGCAAACGGG